UGGGGAAUCUUGGACAAUGGGCGCAAGCCUGAUCCAGCCAUGCCGCGUGGAUGAUGAAGGCCUUAGGGUUGUAAAAUCCUUUCGUUGGGGACGAUAAUGACGGUACCCAAUGAAGAAGCACCGGCUAACUCUGUGCCAGCAGCCGCGGUAAUACAGAGGGUGCGAGCGUUAAUCGGAAUUACUGGGCGUAAAGCGCACGUAGGUGGCGACGUAAGUCGGGUGUGAAAGCCCCGGGCUCAACCUGGGAACCGCAUUCGAGACUGUGUUGCUGGAGUACGGAAGAGGAGGGCGGAAUUCCCGGUGUAGCGGUGAAAUGCGUAGAUAUCGGGAGGAACAUCAGUGGCGAAGGCGGCCCUCUGGUCCAGUACUGACACUCAAGUGCGAAAGUGUGGGGAUCAAACAGGAUUAGAUACCCAAGUAGUCCCUGAGCGGGCUGGCAAGGCGCAU
rnacentral:rRNA from 1 species